rnacentral:rRNA from 1 species
UAUGAACUGGGCUACACACGUGUUACAAUGGUGUAAACAAAACGUAGCAAUGAUGAAAAUCGGAGCCAAUCGCUAAAUUACACCUCAGUACGGAUUGGUGUCUGCAACUCGACUCCAUGAAGCCGGAAUCACUAGUAAUCGUGGAUCAGCAUGCCACGGUGAAUACGUACCUGAGCCUUGUACUCCCCGCCCGUCACACUCUGGGAGUAGU